rnacentral:lncRNA from 1 species
AAGCCGAAGGAAGCCGGGAACCCGGAAGUACUUCUCUGCAGAGGCCUGGGCGACUCUUUUGAAUGGAAUCGGGCUGAUUCAUCGCCUGUUCUCCGAGCCAGGUCCUUGUUGAGUGUGAGGCGCUGCCCUCGCCGCCGCGUCGCCACAAGGCCAGGUAGGAUGCAGACCGCGAGCUCUCUUCAGGCGGCCUCAGCCGAGCCCCGAGGCGGGCCUGGGACGUCCGGGAGCCUGCCUCGCUAGGCCGCCUUCAAGCCUUGGGCUUUCCUGAGUCACGUUGCCCAGCCAGGUUGCCGGUGGAGUCCGGGGCCUGAUGGGAUUGCGGACCCCUUGGUCCUUUCUUCCCUCACCUCCGGGUGUCCGGCAGGGUUAGGGCUGGAUGUCAUCUCCUUGCAAACGUUUCUGCUUCCCUCUAGCUUGGGAACCUUUAACCCAUCAACUGGCAGAACCCUGUUUAUGAUCUACGUGUGUUCGUCUUUAGAUCUUCCUGUGUUGAAAAACUUCCAGUCCAGGGAAGAAAAGGAGCGAGGAUGUUCGCUUAAUCGUUUGUCCUGCUAGCUUUAAAAACCUUCAGAGAGGCAUGCUUUUAAUCCUGAAUGUUUUUAGAAUAAAGUUGGGUUAUUCCUGCUAUGCC